rnacentral:rRNA from 1 species
AUGUCGGCCCCUUCAUCCUUCAUCGUCCUCCUGCCCGUGCCUUUCCUUUCGCCCCUGUUUUUGUCGUGCGAGAACGUGAGGAUGACGACCGGCGCCAAGUCCUGCUCGAGCACCCGCCUGCGUUGCUGCGUCGGUGCACUGUGUCGCUGCUCGUUGCCUGCCAAGACCGUCUCCGUGGAAUUUCACAGUACACCACCUACAAUACCACACGGAUGCCCGAGCGAGUACCCAAUGAAACGCCAAGACCUACAAGAACGACUUCGUGGACCUACUUCCACUACUUCCUCUACGCUGACUCGAACCGCUCCGAUAAUGCACGCUUCAGAGUUUGCAGGUGCCGAUGAUACCGUGCAGGUGACGCAACCGAGCUCAAGGAGGAGCUCGAUGAAGUUCGUGUUCGUUAUGUUGUUCCGUUUCAGUUGA